ensembl:lncRNA
AAGAAAAUAAAAUAAUAAAAGUACUUUUCUUUUAUUCUAAAGAUGCUACUUUACAGAAUACACCAAGGCAAAGGUGAAUUCGGAGCCAGGAUUGUGAAAGCACAGGAACUGGACAGGAGUGAGAGAGUGAGUGGGGUAAGGUCAUUUUUGGCAGGGAAAGUAUUCAGUGAGGGUCCUGGGGACGGCCCAGGAGUAUAUUUUGUGGCUGCAGAGGGCAGGAAUGGGGCUUCCAUGGUGGAUUUCACUCAACAGCAGCAAUUCUUGACCAUAGCUAACCACAGCCAGCUUUGUGACCCUGAGAGUUUUUAAUACUGGUUCAUGUCCACUGAGUUUCCACUACCAACAUGUUCCAAAUGUGUUUCACAGAAAACUAAGUAUUGGUAGGUGGAUUUCCUACUGAUGCUUUUGAUAAAUGCUAUAUCGAACAAAGAAAGAAUACCACGAUUAUUGAUAGCAGAACCUAUCAAAAACUUUUUUAUUCUAUGAUAUGAUACACGACCCCAAAACAGAGUAUACCAUAUUUCCCAAAUUUAUUUGAGAAAAAAAAAAAUCGCUAUCUCCACUUUGUUUGGGUGAGAGCAAAAGAGUUGAAUGGAAUUGGUGUCAUCAUUUGAUACACAGUUUGAGAAGUGUUACUCUGCCAUAUGCCACGUCAGUGAUUCAUGGGCCAUGACUGAUCUUUUUUAUUUAUCCCCUAGUAUCUCCAGCACCACGCACAACCGCUAGCAUAAAAAAGGCUCUCAAAUCUUUGCUAAUUGAGUGAAUGCACUUCAUUAAGAAAAACUGAUUUAGCAAAGCUCUACAUCUUGUGUAUCUCUUCCAGAUUUUAUUUACACUUCCUUACAGAAACCAUCCCAACUUGAUCAAUCCAUGUAGGUGCGGAAGAAUUAAAAAUCNNNNNNNNNNNNNNNNNNNNNNUCUCUCCCAAGGGUUUCUGACACUUGCAAACGAAAUUCUCUCACCCGCUGAGAGUCAGGAACAAAUCAAGGAGAUGUGCUGGGGGUUACUCUUACCACUUCCCCUCCAACAAAUUCAACUUGCUUCCCAAGAGUCAGUUGAGAAUGGCCUCCAAAGAAAACAACCAGUUGGAUGAUAGGAAGUGAAUGCGUGACUGUCAGAGCAAUAAAGCCUUGCCCUUUGCCCUUCUCCAUCAAAAGUUUAGCAAGGACAUGCUUUCCCCACAUAGGCUGAUAACAGCUGUCCCAGAAGACAGAUUGCACACGGAUUACAACUAAUUGGGGUCAAGAAGAGAUCGCCUAUAGUUUUGCCAAGAGCUCUUCUUGGGCUGAGAAAGUAUGUGUUCUUGCAGAUGUUUUCCUGUCCCCUAUGGAACUAGUCCCUACCCUCUAUGGACCUGUGUCAUUGAGCAACUAAGAAGUUAUUGAUUUCAUUUCUUCUAAGGGCUGAAGGAGUUCAUGAGCGCCUCGAAGUACAACCAAGGGAAAAAAAAACUGCUCAGCCAGAAUUUAAGCCCAAAUGGGUCAUAAUGUCCACGUGUUACAAAAAUAUAACUGUCUUUAAAAACAAAAAAUUUCUGGUGAUUGUACGAUUUUGUGCAGCAGGCUGUUCGGUCUAGAGCUAUUUCAAACUCUCAAAACUUUAUACAUGCAAGGCAAACACACUGAAAGCGAAAGUCGCUCCUUUUCCUCUUAUUUCUAAGAUUAGUUGCAACCUCCCUGGUUUUCAACACUCAUGCCAGUGUCCAGACUACUCAAGGGAUUUCCUCAGUCGCAUAGAGAACCUGGACUAAAUUAGUCCAGAGGGAUGUGUGCCAUUUCUAAAUUUGUGGUUGGCUUCAUUGUGUUUAAAGCAAAGGUUAUUAGACACCAAUGCUGUGCAGAUUUUCUAAAUACUCUGGACUGCCAAUGGCAGAACCAGAUGUGAACUGUAUCAGGAGAGACAUGCGUGACAGCGUCUUCCUAAAUGCCUAUGAUGAAUUCUAACCUGCAGAGGAGAAAAUUGCAACUGCGUGGUGCCAGGGUAAUUUCCUCCAAAUACCUCUUCCAUCAGAUUAUUUUCUGUCAGGGAAAGCUAGGGAGGGCUCUGUUGUGUGAAAUCUAAAAUCCAGUGUUAAGGACCUCAGUCAUCUGCCUGUCCUACCUUGAGACAAGCCAAAAGGAUCCCUAAACCCCAGGACAAUCUCCUUAUUCUCCUCCUCUAUACUUCGCUUGAGUGCCACCCUCUGGAAUCCAUAGCUCCAGCGUCCAUCAAAAUCUGGCUUAAACCUCAUUAUUGUCAAGUCACCUUCCCUAUCGAGCCCCGCUCCCUCCGUGCUGAUCCUUCUCCUUUAUUNNNNNNNNNNNNNNNNNNNNNNNNNNNNNNNNNNNNNNNNNNNNNNNNNNNNNNNNNNNNNNNNNNNNNNNNNNNNNNNNNNNNNNNNNNNNNNNNNNNACCUUCCCUAUCGAGCCCCGCUCCCUCCGUGCUGAUCCUUCUCCUUUAUUUGGCAUUCGCUGUAGUUGUCUGUAAGUUGUCACUGUUUCUAUUGGUGGGGCCACUGGAAAGCUUAGCAUUGAAUAUGAGUACCCCGUAACACAAGUGUGUGGAAAAGCCUCCUUGGUGUGCAUUUUCUGCACUUCCUUCUUCCUACCUUCACUGUGAGGGUCACCCUUGAUUUUUGCUUUGCUUUCCGUCACUUCUAAGUUGUUGCCUUGCUCUAAUUUAACUAUUUUACAUGCUAUCUUAAGUCUUUUGUGGAUCAAAGCAGAGUGUCAACAUGAUUUUUUGGACUUUAUUCAGUUCAGUUCAGUUCAGUCGCUCAGCCGUGUCCAACUCUUGGUGACCCCGUGGACUGCAGCAUGCCAGGCUUCCGUGUCCCAUCACUAACUCCCGGAGUUUACUCAAAUUCAUGUCCAUCGAGUCAGUGAUGC